rnacentral:rRNA from 1 species
CCUACGGGGUGCUGCAGUGGGGAAUAUUGGACAAUGGGCGAAAGCCUGAUCCAGCCAUGCCGCGUGUGUGAAGAAGGCCUUCGGGUUGUAAAGCACUUUCAGUGGGGAAGAAAGCCUUGGGGCUAAUACCCUCGAGGAAGGACAUCACCCACAGAAGAAGCACCGGCUAACUCCGUGCCAGCAGCCGCGGUAAUACGGAGGGUGCGAGCGUUAAUCGGAAUUACUGGGCGUAAAGCGCGCGUAGGCGGUCUGAUAAGCCGGUUGUGAAAGCCCCGGGCUCAACCUGGGAACGGCAUCCGGAACUGUCAGGCUAGAGUGCAGGAGAGGAAGGUAGAAUUCCCGGUGUAGCGGUGAAAUGCGUAGAGAUCGGGAGGAAUACCAGUGGCGAAGGCGGCCUUCUGGACUGACACUGACGCUGAGGUGCGAAAGCGUGGGUAGCAAACAGGAUUAGCUACCCCUGUAGUC